GUGAUGUAUGAGUUAGUGGCGGACGGGUGAGUAACGCGUGGAGAACCUGCCGUAUACUGGGGGAUAACACUUAGAAAUAGGUGCUAAUACCGCAUAAGCGCACAGCUUCGCAUGAAGCAGUGUGAAAAAUUCCGGUGGUAUACGAUGGAUCCGCGUCUGAUUAGCUGGUUGGCGGGGUAACAGCCCACCAAGGCGACGAUCAGUAGCCGGCCUGAGAGGGUGAACGGCCACAUUGGGACUGAGACACGGCCCAAACUCCUACGGGAGGCAGCAGUGGGGAAUAUUGCACAAUGGGGGAAACCCUGAUGCAGCGACGCCGCGUGAGUGAAGAAGUAUUUCGGUAUGUAAAGCUCUAUCAGCAGGGAAGAAAUACUGACCUUACGGUCAGCAGACGGUACCUGACUAAGAAGCCCCGGCUAACUACGUGCCAGCAGCCGCGGUAAUACGUAGGGGGCAAGCGUUAUCCGGAUUUACUGGGUGUAAAGGGAGCGUAGACGGCAGCGCAAGUCUGAAGUGAAAUCCCAUGGCUUAACCAUGGAACUGCUUUGGAAACUGUGCAGCUGGAGUGCAGGAGAGGUAAGCGGAAUUCCUAGUGUAGCGGUGAAAUGCGUAGAUAUUAGGAGGAACACCAGUGGCGAAGGCGGCUUACUGGACUGUAACUGACGUUGAGGCUCGAAAGCGUGGGGAGCAAACAGGAUUAGAUACCCUGGUAGUCCACGCCGUAAACGAUGAUUACUAGGUGUUGGGGGACCAAGGUCCUUCGGUGCCGG
rnacentral:rRNA from 1 species